GUGGAGCCUGCGGCUUAAUUUGACUCAACACGGGAAACCUCACCAGGCCCGGACACCAGAAGGAUUGACAGAUUAAGAGCUCUUUCUCGAUUUGGUGGGUGGUGGUGCAUGGCCGUUCUUAGUUGGUGGAGUGAUUUGUCUGGUUAAUUCCGGUAACGAACGAGACUCUGGCCUACUAAAUAGUCGACGGGCGUUUUGGUGCAUGGGCCCCGUUCGACACAGUCUUCUUAGAGGGAUGAGCAGCGAGUAUAGCUGCAGGAGAUUGAGCAAUAACAGGUCUGUGAUGCCCUUAGAUGUCCUGGGCCGCACGCGCGCUACACUGAAUGGGUUAGCGGGUUGUCCUUCUCCGAGAGGAGCGGGAAAUCGCUUGAAAACCAUUCGUGAUAGGGAUUGGGGCUUGCAAUUGUUUCCCAUGAACGAGGAAUUCCCAGUAAGCGCAAGUCAUCAGCUUGCGUUGAUUAAGUCCCUGCCCUUUGUACACACCGCCCGUCGCUACUACCGAUUGAAUGAUUUAGUGAGGCCUUCGGACUGGCGGUCUUGGACUGGGGCACCGGCCUCAGCAAUGUGUGCCGGUGACCCGCCUAGACGGGCCGGAAAGAUGUCCAAACUUGAUCAUUUAGAGGAAGUAAAAGUCGUAACAAGGUUUCC
rnacentral:rRNA from 2 species